ncrna:unclassified sequences RAGATH-18 RNA
CCUAUGGAGAGUACACAACAAUGUGAGUAGUAUUUAGAACCAUCUAAUAUGAAAGCAUACUCGAAGAAGUAGGAA